CCUACGGGAGGCUGCAGUAGGGAAUAUUGCUCAAUGGGGGAAACCCUGAAGCAGCAACGCCGCGUGGAGGAUGACUGUUUUCUGAUUUUUAACUCCUUUUGUUAGAGAAGAUAAUGACGGUAUCUAACGAAUAAGCACCUGCUAACUCCGGGCCAGCAGCCGCGGUAAUACGGAGGGUGCAAGCGUUACUCGGAAUCACUGGGCGUAAAGAGCGCGUAGGCGGGAUAGUAGGUCAGAUGUGAAAUCCUAUGGCCUAACCAUAAAACUGCAGUUGAAACUGGUGUUCUAGAGUAUGCGAGAGGUAGGUGGAAUUCGUGGUGUAGGGGUAAAAUCCGUAGAGAUCAAGAGGAAUCCUCAUUGCGAAGGCAGCCUGCUAGAACAUAACUGACGCUGAUGCGCGAAAGCGUGGGGAGCGAACAGGAUUAGAUACCCCUGUAGUC
rnacentral:rRNA from 1 species